rnacentral:rRNA from 1 species
GAUGAACGCUGGCGGCGUGCUUAACACAUGCAAGUCGAGCGAAGCACUUUUGCGGAUUUCUUCGGAUUGAAGCAACUGUGACUGAGCGGCGGACGGGUGAGUAACGCGUGGGUAACCUGCCUCAUACAGGGGGAUAACAGUUGGAAACGGCUGCUAAUACCGCAUAAGCGCACAGUACCGCAUGGUACCGUGUGAAAAACUCCGGUGGUAUGAGAUGGACCCGCGUCUGAUUAGCUAGUUGGUGGGGUAACGGCCUACCAAGGCGACGAUCAGUAGCCGACCUGAGAGGGUGACCGGCCACAUUGGGACUGAGACACGGCCCAAACUCCUACGGGAGGCAGCAGUGGGGAAUAUUGCACAAUGGGGGAAACCCUGAUGCAGCGACGCCGCGUGAGCGAUGAAGUAUUUCGGUAUGUAAAGCUCUAUCAGCAGGGAAGAAAAUGACGGUACCUGACUAAGAAGCCCCGGCU